GUGCUGGCGUCACCAGCACAUACACUAAAAUUGCCAUGAUUCAAAGAAGGUUAGUGUGGCCCCUGCACAAGGAUGACACCCACGUUUGUGAAACGUUCUAUAUUUCU